rnacentral:sRNA from 1 species
GCGGUUAGUUCAGAUUGUUCUU